rnacentral:rRNA from 1 species
UACGGAGGGUGCAAGCGUUAUCCGGAUUCACUGGGUUUAAAGGGUGCGUAGGAGGGCAGGUAAGUCAGUGGUGAAAUCUCCGAGCUUAACUUGGAAACUGCCGUUGAUACUAUCUGUCUUGAAUAUUGUGGAGGUGAGCGGAAUAUGUCAUGUAGCGGUGAAAUGCUUAGAUAUGACAUAGAACACCAAUUGCGAAGGCAGCUCGCUACACAUAUAUUGACACUGAUGCACGAAAGCGUGGGGAUCAAACAGG